rnacentral:misc_RNA from 1 species
CAGUGUUCGCUGCCCCCAGGGGUAGCAAACCUCACCCUUGUGUAUCAUAUCUUUGUUGCUUCGGCACGCCGCUCCAGGGCACCGGCCUCGGCUGGCCAGCGCGUGUCAGAGGACUCCAAACUCUGAAUGUUAGUGUCGUCUGAGUACUAUCUAAUAGUUA